rnacentral:snoRNA from 1 species
AUGAUCUGGGUGAUGAAGAAAAUCAGACGGAUUCCCAUUGGUUUUCCAAUAUGAUUUUAACAACCAGCUACUUCUGACAGAUCAU